GUUGGUGAAGCGCCGGGGCUGCUAAUGCUCCCUCCCCUCUUCCUCUUUGGCUCUCUCUCUCUCUUUUUCCAGACACCUUAAGGAAUUCAACAACCCCUCCCCUGCACACAGGCUUCUUCCAGGUGUGAAAUUCCAUGAAGGGCAGAGGGAAGGCAGGCAUGUGGGAGUUUUCUGUCCCUUGAGUAGGAGAAAGUUUCAGGAAGCCAGAUGCCAUGUUGCAAGAUUUCCUCUGGAGAGGGCCUCUUGGCAAGGAACUGAUGUCUCUGGCCAGCAGCCAGCGAGGACCUAAGAUCUGUCAACAGCCAUGCUUAUGGCUGGUCUAGCAGAGCCAGGUGCCAGGCCUGGCGGGAGCAUCCUUGUCUCUUAACUGACAGUGCCUCCACCUGGCCUUGCAGCUCCACUCGACAAAUACUAAAUAACAGGCUCUGGCAUCUCCUGAAGCUCUGCACUCAUUAACACACUGGGAGGUAAGUGCAGGCAACCAGGGAGAAUUUACUCUGCAGCAACAGGCUUCUCAUAUAGAAGCCAAACACACCCCAGCAGGUA
rnacentral:lncRNA from 10 species